rnacentral:rRNA from 1 species
AGCAACGCCGCGUGUGGGAAGAAGGCUCUUGGGCUGUCAACCACUUUUCUCAGGGAAGAAGACCUGACGGUACCUGAGGAAUCAGCCUCGGCUAACUCCGUGCCAGCAGCCGCGGUAAUACGGAGGAGGCAAGCGUUAUCCGGAAUUAUUGGGCGUAAAGCGUCCGCAGGGGGCGCAUCAAGUCUGCUGUUAAAGGUCGGAGCUAAACUCCGGUAGAGCAGUGGAAACUGGUGCGCUAGAGGGCGACAGGGGUAGAGGGAAUUCCCAGUGUAGCGGUGAAAUGCGUAGAGAUUGG